AGAGAAGGGUUUCCUGUUGUCAUCCAGUCUGCCUCUGCUGCCUUCCAGGAGCUCAUAAAACAAUUAUUGUCCCACUGCAUUGUCCCCUCAGCUAUGGAUGCAAGCGGCUGAUGAGAUUGAUUACUUCCACAAUACCCAAUUAACCCACUCACUCUGCAAACGAUUGACUUAAUCAAAGGCAAUUAGUGCUUGAAUGGCUAGAGCAGACAGAAAGCCAGGAUUUAGUGGAUGAUUCAGAUGACAUUGUACAGACAUCUCCUUGGCCUUCUAAGGGAAAACAUCUUCACUAGUGCUCAGCUCAGAGCUGGAAGUAGAUGAAACCUCAGGGCCUGGAGCACCGAGCAGCUGACCAGACCUCAAUGUCCAAGAGGGUCCUGGAAAGGUCACUUGCCUCUGAUAGAUCCAGCUCUCUGAGCAAAGCCAACGCUGUUCUACAAAACCACCUUCAAUAUUGAUUUCUUCCACAGCAACUUCUCCCACAAUUUAAAAAAAAACAAAACAACAAAAACCACUCCAAAAGACUCAGUUUGGAGGCAGGACCACAUCUCUGUAGAAAUACAGGUGUCAGUGUCCUCAGGGACUGAUUUAUCUCUAGACAAAUCACCCCAAACUGGCACAGCAGAGACCAGACAAAGCCUCACCACAGGAAGGUGAAGAAGAGCAAACCCAUGACACCAAGCAGAGGACAGAGACCAUUUUAGAUCAUGUAAGGAACAACUUCAAGGCUGAAGCUACACAUGGAAAACCAAUUCUCCAGAUCACUGCAGAAAGAUAUUGUCAUCUUGCUUCAUCCUGAUUUUGUAGUGGAAAAGGAUGCUCCCCAGCUGGGAUCAACAUGGAAAAUGGAGCCAAAUGCACCAUCUCUAUGGAAGGGUCACAGGGCUGGGCUUAACUACACAUCAGACCCUGAGGCUGACAGAGAGGAGAUGAGGUCUGUCCCACCCUCACAGGCACAUGGAAUUUAAAUGCAAGGUCCAUCCCUGGGUUUCCAGUCCCACUUAAUUGUGAAUACACUUGCCUUGGUGUCUCACAGCCGAAAAUCCAAACUGCUUCUAAGCAAAGCCCCAGUAAUAAAGCUGAAAUCCAUUAAGCCUGUGAUGUUUGCCGCUAUUUAAAUCUGAUUAAAAUUGUACAUGACACCACUAAGCCAAACAGUCAGAAAACACUCCUGUCAAGUCUGAUGUUUCUCCACUUAAUCCAGACCCCCCUUCUUUCACCGGGUUGUCAGCUGAAAGGAGCCAUAACAAGAGAUCAUGUACCUAAUCCAGCUUCCUAAGCUGUUUUUAACUGGUUUCUUUAAUCACAUGUUAUGAUUCCCUGCGGAGCAGCUCUCAGGUGACAUUAGCACAGUCACUCAUACUCCAGGGGGAUCUCAGGUGGGAUCACCUUGCUCCUUGUGGUCCUGGAGUGCAGCAGGAAUGAGACACACACAGGAGCCUCUGCAGAGCCUGGGAAGCCACCAGUGGGAUAAACAAUGGGGAAUCACAGCAGCAGGGGGUGACAGCCACAGGUGAGCAGCUGCAGGGUAAGAUAGUGCAAAGGACUCUCAUCAGAGAAGCAGCUUCUUUUGGUAGAGUGAUAUUGAUCUCCCAGUGAGCACUCACCUCUGAAAAUGCUGUGUGGGAACAAGUAUCAGGCAAAAACACCAAAUUAUACAAUUCCCAAGUCCUCACCUGAUGCUGCAGGCAUAUCAGGUUUGAUAAAGAAGGCAGCCACAUCCUCCCUUUUAUCAGUUUAUCUUAUAAUUGACCAUCAAUACAGUACAACUUCCGUGGUAACUUAAUUAUUGAGCAAGUGUUUACAUAUUAAAGAUAAGACCACAGCUGGCUGCUGCAA